rnacentral:tRNA from 1 species
GAGGGUAUAGCUCAGUGCUAGAGUGUGUGCUUAGCAUGCACAGGGUCCUGGGUUCAAUCCCUAGUACCUCCA